rnacentral:rRNA from 1 species
GAUGAACGCUAGCUACAGGCUUAACACAUGCAAGUCGAGGGGCAGCAUGGUCUUAGCUUGCUAAGACUGAUGGCGACCGGCGCACGGGUGAGUAACACGUAUCCAACCUGCCGAUGACUCGGGGAUAGCCUUUCGAAAGAAAGAUUAAUACCCGAUGGCAUAGUUCUUCCGCAUGGUAGAACUAUUAAAGAAUUUCGGUCAUCGAUGGGGAUGCGUUCCAUUAGGUUGUUGGCGGGGUAACGGCCCACCAAGCCUUCGAUGGAUAGGGGUUCUGAGAGGAAGGUCCCCCACAUUGGAACUGAGACACGGUCCAAACUCCUACGGGAGGCAGCAGUGAGGAAUAUUGGUCAAUGGACGAGAGUCUGAACCAGCCAAGUAGCGUGAAGGAUGACUGCCCUAUGGGUUGUAAACUUCUUUUAUACGGGAAUAAAGUUAGCCACGUGUGGUUUUUGUAUGUACCGUAUGAAUAAGGAUCGGCUAACUCCGUG